UACUAAAAUUUAACCAACUAUCGUGAUCUGAUAAUACAGAGAAAUUUCAUGAUAACUCCCAAAAAAAUGCAACACUGGGGUUCAUCUCUCAACUGAGUUCAUUUUAUCUAUAUGUCAAGCAGAAGCAUUAUAAUAUUUUGCAAAGAUUACGAGAGGCCUUUUCUAUUUAACUCUUGAAGUGGAAACAUCACCAUUUUAUAAAACAGAUCGAAGACUAUUUUGUGUCUAAAAGUGAGUUACACCAUCAUCUUACCAGGACCACGUGGAACGCUCAAGUUGGUUCGCCACGAUCAGCGAAUCUGGCCUUUGCAUUUCAUCACCAGCUCUAUAAAGCUCUUCAGAAUCCAUACUGUUGCAACAUUUCAUCGUGGAUUCGGAGAAAUUCAUCUAUUACGUGUGAAAAUGGUCAGACACCUCGUUAAAAUACUUGGUGAUCACCAUUUAAUACAAUAAUACAACUUUCUGGACAACUACAGUUGCAAUAUUGUCCUCUUUGAAGAUUAAGGCAGAAGUAUGGCCUAAAUUAAUAAGAAAAAUAACUUUCGUCUUGAUUAAUUGGCUAUUUAUGCCAAAAAUUUAUGAGCGUGUAGUGAAUAUUUGACUAAUGGUAUUAAUUCAAAGAAAAUUAUAAUAUGUGAAUUAUCCUUUAAAACGUAAAAAGUAAACCUAAAUGAAGUUAUAGAUGUGUAACGUACACGUAUUAUUUAAAUAUAAGUUUUUUUAUAAUUAAAGCUUGGUAAAGAGAUUAAGAAUUUUUCAAUAAUAAUAAUACUAAUUUAAUUAUGCUAUAGAAAAAGAAAACACACGUGUAUGGCAACUUAAUGCAUUCAGGCUGCUUCAACAUUAUUGCUGAUCUUCGUGAAGGCCUUCGACGAUCAUCAUGCCAUAAGUGGAAAAUGUAAGUGCACUUCUAUAAUAUUUAUACGAAUUAUUAUACCAAUUUUUUUUCAUAUACGUUUUGUAUUAAUCUUUUGUAUGAGAGAAUUGAAUUUUAUUACCUUACAGUAAUUACAUUCAUUGACUCUCCUGCUUGCUUAUUCGCAGCAGAGGAUGCUCACCGAUCGGCUGAUCUUUUAGUUUAGCUACACCGGCUCACCUCAUCUGUGAAGGAGCGGGUAGAGUAAAUAUGUAAGAGCACAACUGAUUUGCAAAUUACAGAGAGUGCCUAUGGUUGCCAUGCAUCUUAAGUAAAUUUCACCUGUACUGAAUUUCUAGUUAUUUUUUUUUAUUAGUUUUCUUUAACAUUACCCAUGUUAUUGUUUUUUUGUGUUAUUUUGAAACAGUACAUUUGCAUAAAUUAGUUUUCUUUUCUAGUAAUCUAAAGCUCAAAAUGUAUAUUUUUAAGAUGUUUUAUUGAAGUAGUCUACUUUGAAUUUUCCUAUAUUUUAUCUCCAUUUUGUACAUAAUAUUAAGAAUGUGAAUAAAUUUUUAAAUUUCAAAUAUGAA